CCUACGGGCGGCAGCAGUGGGGGAUAUUGCACAAUGGGGGGAACCCUGAUGCAGCGACGCCGCGUGGGUGAAGAAGCGCCUCGGCGCGUAAAGCCCUGUCAGCAGGGAAGAAAAUGACGGUACCUGAAGAAGAAGCCCCGGCUAACUACGUGCCAGCAGCCGCGGUAAUACGUAGGGGGCAAGCGUUAUCCGGAAUUACUGGGGGUAAAGGGGGCGCAGACGGCAGGGAAAGCCAGAGGUGAAAGCCCAGGGCUCAACCCGGGAAUGCUCUUGGAACUGGGGGGCUUGAGUGCAGGAGAGGAGAGUGGAAUUCCUGGUGUAGCGGUGAAAUGCGUAGAUAUCAGGAGGAAAACCGGUGGCGAAGGCGGCCUGCUGGACUGCAACUGACGUUGAGGCCCGAAAGCGUGGGGAGCAAACAGGAUUAGAUACCCGUGUAGUC
rnacentral:rRNA from 1 species